rnacentral:rRNA from 1 species
AUUGAUCGCUGGCGGCAGGCUUAACACAUGCAAGUCGAGCGGAGAGAGGUAGCUUGCUACUGAUCUUAGCGGCGGACGGGUGAGUAAUGCUUAGGAAUCUGCCUAUUAGUGGGGGACAACAUUUCGAAAGGAAUGCUAAUACCGCAUACGUCCUACGGGGGAAAGCAGGGGAUCUUCGGACCUUGCGCUGAUAGAUGAGCCUAAGUCGGAUUAGCUAGUUGGUGGGGUAAAGGCCUACCAAGGCGACGAUCUGUAGCGGGUCUGAGAGGAUGAUCCGCCACACUGGGAGUGAGACACGGCCCAGACUCCUACGGGAGGCAGCAGGGGGGAAUAUUGGACAAUGGGCGGAAGCCUGAUCCAGCCAUGCCGCGUGUGUGAAGAAGGCCUUUUGGUUGUAAAGCACUUUAAGCGAGGAGGAGGCUACCUGGAUUAAUACUCUAGGAUAGUGGACGUUACUCGCAGAAUAAGCACCGGCUAACUCUGUGCCAGCCGCCGCGGUAAGAC